GGAAGAACAACCCAACGGCUGGCGAUGGGAGCGGAUUUGAAACCCGCCGAGUGUUAAUAGCGCCUUGAGAGUUCGAUCCUCUCUUCUUCCGCCA
rnacentral:tRNA from 1 species